UACGUAGGGUGCGAGCGUUAAUCGGAAUUACUGGGCGUAAAGCGUGCGCAGGCGGUUUUGUAAGACAGCUGUGAAAUCCCCGGGCUCAACCUGGGAACUGCGGUUGUGACUGCAAGACUGGAGUACGGCAGAGGGGGGUAGAAUUCCUGGUGUAGCAGUGAAAUGCGUAGAGAUCAGGAGGAAUACCGAUGGCGAAGGCAGCCCCCUGGGCCAGUACUGACGCUCAUGCACGAAAGCGUGGGGAG
rnacentral:rRNA from 1 species